rnacentral:lncRNA from 1 species
CAGAGAUCAACAAGACAGCUGCUGCCCUCCUGAGGCUUAUAAGAAGAGGAGCAUCUCAUACAUCCAUGGCUGGACAUGCAAUUUCUUUGGAAUAGGAUGGAGGUACAGUGGAAUUGAAGAUGAUGAGGGUAGAGAUCUGAGAUGAUCAAGGACCCCGGACAGGACACAGGAAUGGGAAGCAGCACUGAGAUGCUACUAAGGUGACACCAUGUGUUACCACCUUGGCUGUAGCUUCUCUCCCAUGGGUGACAUUCAGUCCCUGGUACUGGACUGGCUGGAUCUGAAGGAAAGCACUGGGAAAGGGAGCUGUCGAGUGAGUGAGACUGUGCUUGAAGAACGGGACUGCACAUGAUGUUGGUGAUUGCUUUGGAUUUGCUGAAUCAAUGAAUAAAUGGGAGGUGUUAUAGUGCAAUGGUUAAAGUGAAACACCUUCGGUCCAAAAUGCGGCUCUACUGCUUACUGCUACUCAUAGUAUCUGCCUUGUAGGGUUGUGGAGAUGGCUGGCUGAGAUGAUGCAUAUAAACCACAUCGUCCAGGGCCUGGCAUGGAGAAGAGUUAACAGUAGUUCUUACCAUCCUCACAGACCAUGGCAGAUAGGAGCUGACUGAUGGAGGAUUCUAACCAGGAAGGGGCCAGUGUAGAGCCUGCAAAGAGAAUACCUCAUGGACAGCUGAUAAGUGAGUGAGUGUGUUGGGGAAGACUGCAGAGGCACCUCUGAGAAGACCUGCACCGGAGCUGGAGGCUGCACCCCCAUGUCCCUGGCUCCACCCUUCCUCCAAGCCUCAGCUUCCGUGCUGUGCUUGCCCAUCCGCUGGUGCUCUUCUGAGCUGCCCUGAGCACACAGCCUGCUGGGAACUCCUACACCUGCUUGCUGGCUUGGCCACGGCUCCUGGGAUCUGGGAGACAAAGCCUUUUUGUAACCUGUUUGGAGAUAUCAGUGCCACUGUCCAGUGAGUCAGGGACCCAAAUGGCCACAAAUGAUGAAGAGGAGAGUUCUCAGAUGGAAGAAGAGGCUCUGAGGAUCCUGGUCAUGGUCUAUGUGUAAUAUCAAAGCAAACAUGGUCCCUGGAUAAGCCUGCACCAAGAACCUCUUCUUCUGUGUCACGACUGAGCUUAUAAAAUUUCUGGAAAGUUUCUCUCAGAGUCAAGCUUGGACAGGAUUUUAUCUGCUUUCCAAUAUGUACUAGAUGUCAUAUGCUAAUAAAAUAUGCCUAAGAUCUAGCCAAAU